UCAAAGGCUCUUUUCAGAGCCACCCACCGGUUCAAGGAAAGAGCGU
rfam:Loxodonta africana unplaced genomic scaffold scaffold_110, whole genome shotgun sequence.